rnacentral:rRNA from 1 species
GCCAGCCCGCUCAAGAAACUCAAUGAAUUGACGGGGCCCCGCACAAGCAGCGGAGCGUGUGGUUUAAUUCGAUGCUACACGAAGAACCUUACCAGGGUUUGACAUACAAGUAGUAGGGAAAGGAAACUGGACCGACCCUUCGGGGAGCUUGAACAGGUGCUGCAUGGCUGUCGUCAGCUCGUGUCGUGAGAUGUUCGGUUAAGUCCGCUAACGAGCGCAACCCUCGCUGUGUGUUACAAGUGUCACACGGAACUGCCGGUCAUAAACCGGAGGAAGGUGGGGAUGACGUCAAGUCAGCAUGGCCUUUAUAUCCUGGGCUACACACACGCUACAAUGGGAAGGGACAAUAGGUUGCGAAACCGCGAGGUGGAGCCAAUCCAGCAAAACUUCCCUCAGUUCAGAUUGCAGGCUGCAACUCGCCUGCAUGAAGUUGGAGUUGCUAGUAAACGCAGGUCAGCCAUACUGCGUUGAAUACGUUCCCGGGGCUU